UACUAGAGUAGCACUCGCAUAUCAAUAAGCGGAGGAAAAGAAACUAACAAGGAUUCCCCUAGUAACGGCGAGUGAAGCGGGAAGAGCUCAAAUUUGAAAUCUUAAAGGGUUUCCCUUUACGAAUUGUAGUUUAAAGAAGUGUUUCCUGUUGAGGUUUUGGUAAAAGUUCUUUGGAAUAGGACAUCAUAGAGGGUGAGAAUCCCGUAUUUGACCUUUACUUUCAACUUUGUGAUACACUUUCAAAGAGUCGGAUUGUUUGGGAAUGCAGUCCAAAAUGGGUGGUAAAUUUCAUCUAAAGCUAAAUAUUGGCGAGAGACCGAUAGCGAACAAGUACCGUGAGGGAAAGAUGAAAAGAACUUUGAAAAGAGAGUUAAACAGUACGUGAAAUUGUCAAAAGGGAAGCGUUUGACACCAGUGUUGUUUUUCUGAAAAUCAAUUAAAGAACUGUUUAUGCUAAGCUGUUUAGACUUUAUCAGCUAACUGUUUAGUUUUGAGCUUUUCUUUAAUGCACUUUUCAGUUAACAAGUCAACACCAAUUUCUUUUGCUGUAAAAAAGCUUGAGGAAGGUGGCUUGAGAUUCGUCUUAAGUGUUUAUAGCCUCUUGCCUAUGCAGUCGGAGAGAUUGAGGUCUGCAGCGUAGAUCCUUCGGGGCUAAAUGCAUUUGUGCUAAGUUAUAGCAUUUUAUAGACAACUUGUUGACUAUGAUUUGUCUUGUAGCUUACUCGCUUAUGUUAUUUUACCUACGCUUAGGAUGUUGAUAUCGCGCUCUCACUG
rnacentral:rRNA from 1 species